UACCUGGGGUGCAACCGUUGCUCGGAAUUAUUGGGCGUAAAGCGCACGUAGGUGGUCCCUUAAGUCGAAUGUGAAAUCCCUCGGCUCAACCGAGGACGUGCAUCCGAAACUGAGGGGCUAGAGUAUGGUAGAGGGUCGCGGAAUUCCCGGUGUAGAGGUGAAAUUCGUAGAUAUCGGGAGGAACACCGGUGGCGAAGGCGGCGACCUGGGCCAAUACUGACACUGAGGUGCGAAAGCGUGGGGAGCAAACAGG
rnacentral:rRNA from 1 species